rnacentral:rRNA from 1 species
CAGCCGCCGCGGUAAUACGUAGGGGGCGAGCGUUGUCCGGAAUUAUUGGGCGUAAAGCGCGCGCAGGCGGUCCUUUAAGUCUGAUGUGAAAGCCCACGGCUCAACCGUGGAGGGUCAUUGGAAACUGGGGGACUUGAGUGCAGGAGAGGAGAGCGGAAUUCCACGUGUAGCGGUGAAAUGCGUAGAGAUGUGGAGGAACACCAGUGGCGAAGGCGGCUCUCUGGCCUGUAACUGACGCUGAGGCGCGAAAGCGUGGGGAGCAAACAGGAUCAGAUACCCUGGUAGUCCACGCCGUAAACGAUGAGUGCUAAGUGUUAGAGGGGUCACACCCUUUAGUGCUGCAGCUAACGCGAUAAGCACUCCGCCUGGGGAGUACGGCCGCAAGGCUGAAACUUAAAGGAAUUGGCGGG